UACGUAGGUGGCAAGCGUUGUCCGGAAUUAUUGGGCGUAAAGCGCGCGCAGGCGGUCCUUUAAGUCUGAUGUGAAAUCCCUCAGCUCAACUGAGGACGUGCAUCCGAAACUGGCAGGCUAGAGUACAGCAGAGGAUAGCGGAAUUCCCGGUGUAGUGGUGAAAUGCGUAGAUAUCGGGAGGAACACCAGUGGCGAAGGCGGGUCUCUGGGCCGUAACUGACGCUGAGGAGCGAAAGCAUGGGGAGCGAACAGG
rnacentral:rRNA from 1 species